GUCGAACGAUGAAGCCCAGCUUGCUGGGUGGAUUAGUGGCGAACGGGUGAGUAACACGUGAGUAACCUGCCCUUAACUCUGGGAUAAGCCUGGGAAACUGGGUCUAAUACCGGAUAGGAGCGUCCACCGCAUGGUGGGUGUUGGAAAGAUUUAUCGGUUUUGGAUGGACUCGCGGCCUAUCAGCUUGUUGGUGAGGUAAUGGCUCACCAAGGCGACGACGGGUAGCCGGCCUGAGAGGGUGACCGGCCACACUGGGACUGAGACACGGCCCAGACUCCUACGGGAGGCAGCAGUGGGGAAUAUUGCACAAUGGGCGCAAGCCUGAUGCAGCGACGCCGCGUGAGGGAUGACGGCCUUCGGGUUGUAAACCUCUUUCAGUAGGGAAGAAGCGAAAGUGACGGUACCUGCAGAAGAAGCACCGGCUAACUACGUGCCAGCAGCCGCGGUAAUACGUAGGGUGCGAGCGUUAUCCGGAAUUAUUGGGCGUAAAGAGCUCGUAGGCGGUUUGUCGCGUCUGUCGUGAAAGUCCGGGGCUUAACCCCGGAUCUGCGGUGGGUACGGGCAGACUAGAGUGCAGUAGGGGAGACUGGAAUUCCUGGUGUAGCGGUGGAAUGCGCAGAUAUCAGGAGGAACACCGAUGGCGAAGGCAGGUCUCUGGGCUGUAACUGACGCUGAGGAGCGAAAGCAUGGGGAGCGAACAGGAUUAGAUACCCUGGUAGUCCAUGCCGUAAACGUUGGGCACUAGGUGUGGGGACCAUUCCACGGUUUCCGCGCCGCAGCUAACGCAUUAAGUGCCCCGCC
rnacentral:rRNA from 1 species